UGACAUCAGCACGGUCAAGGGUCAGCUGGUGGUUCUAGAGUGCCGUAUUCGUGGAACGCCACCACUGCAGAUUCUGUGGCACCAUGAGAAUGAGCAGAUAGUGGACUCAGCUGACUUCCACAUCCUCAGAAAGAAGGCUACUUCUGCAUCAGUGCCAGAGGAGCUGUGGACCCUUGUCGUCACCGAGGCCUUCCCAGAGGACUCUGGGUUGUUCAAAUGUAUAGCUGGGAAUCAGUUGGGAACAGUAUCAUGCGACGCCAUACUGGAGGUGUACCUAGGUGAGCA